GGGUCAAUGAAGAGAACUCAUGGUAUUAAAGAGAGAUGGUGACUACAGGGAUUUGUUGAGGCCC
rfam:Erinaceus europaeus unplaced genomic scaffold scaffold00298, whole genome shotgun sequence